UCUCCAUUGGUGGUAGUUUAAUCAAUUUUUUAGAAACUUUCAGAAUUAAAAGUAAUUAAAAAAAUGAAAACAGCGCUAAAAACUUAACCAUCGAUGCUAAUUUAAGAGUUUUUAGAGUUGUAUCUUAACUAUAACGUGUCGGUAUGUGAGUGGCUAGGGAAUUUUUUUUUGUUUCUUUGUUCUUUGCCGUCGUCUCGUCUAUAUCGCUGGCGUCGACUACAAAGUGGAGACCAUAGUAAGAGCUCAUACAAGAGAAAUAUAACCACAGUGGAAUCUAACGAGGAAGAAGUUAGAAUAGCAAUGAAUAUGGCUGAGAAGAAACUUUCGGAGAAUGAUUACAAUGGAGCGAAGAUAUGCGUUGACAAGGCUAAGAAUUUGUAUCCGAACCUUGAUUGGUUUGAAGUUAACUUUGUUACGAGGUUGUGCUUUCAUCUUGGGAGUCAGUCGUUGAGUUGCAGCCAAGACUAGAUGAGAUAUCGAAAUGCCCUUGUGAAGGAAUGAUGGUGACUGCCGCUGC